GUCUUGGGGGGAUCGUCCCCAGCCUAGCCGCUGGGGGGUCGCGUCUGCGCGCGCCCCAGCGCCGUGACUGCCCUCAGGCCGGCCGCGCUCCCAGGCUUUGCUGCGGAGGAUGCCCGUCUGUCCUCGCUGGUGGGGCUGCGCUGCGUUGAAACCGGGGCCCGAGCGUCCUGGCGGGCGGUGCUUUGCUCUCCCGAGCAUAUACCGCUGUUGUACCUAGAACCUCUUUCUGCGCACCAGAACCACACGAACAUUUAAGCGAUUUGGUAAUAUCAUGGGGGGGGCGGUUUCUGAAAGCCGACCGCUUUCUCUUGAUUCGGGGCGUUCCCUCUGAGAUGCGUCAUUUCUGCGGGUCCUUAGAACCCAUUGAAUUUGUUACUAAUAAAGAAGAGAGAAAAAAGCAGACGUUCACCCGGUUGCAGUCGAACCAGAGCAAACAUUUGACCAUUGUGUUCUAGGAACAUUCUAGGAAUGGACAAGCCCAGUGGGGAGGGACGGACAACAAACCAGGAACAGGGUAAAAGGGCAAGCGACAGUGGUCACCGGCUGGGAUGGAGCGGCUGGCAAAGUUCACACUCUCUCCCAUCUCUGUCCUCUCCUCCCCGCCUCUCUCUCUCCACGGCCACCGAUCCCUCCGCCCCCUGGACAGCAACCAGUCUGCUCUUUGCUGGACCUCUUCUCCUGCCACUCCACCCAGGACACAUCGCGACAAGGGCAGCAGUACCAGGAUGCGAAUUUUUCAGGCAUCUUCACUCACUUGAGCAGGCGGCAGUGGCUGCUGUGGGAACCAUGAAUCGGGCAGGCUCCAGGAGACUGAAUUUGGCCGCUACUGGGGGUUUUGUGUAUUGCAGUCGUUCUCAAAGUGUGGGCCAGGGACACCUGGAGUUUCCUGAGACCCUUCCUCUGAGUUGUUCUCCUGGAGGGCUUCUUCUUGGGACUUCCCACCUUAGAACCCAGCUACUGUGCUGAGAAGAGCCUAAGCCAUGUGAAGGGGCCUAAUGUGAAAGUUCCGGUCAAGAACCCCAGCUGAGCUCAUGUCUGGCAGCCGGCAGCAACUGCUAGUUCGCCAGUGCGCCUCCAUUCUCAGCCUUCACGUGAGUCCAGCUCCCACUGUAUCUACCUGACACUGCACAAGAGGCCAGUAAGUGAGAAGAAGUCGGUUGAUCCAUAAUAGAACGGGUCCUCUGGCAUUUACGCUAAGCCUGGAGCAGUCCAAGUGGGAUUCACAUCUACAAAAGGGAAUCGUGGCAAGGAACCUCAGUUUGGAGGCGCAAAGAUGUGAUUCUGAAAACCAGUCUCAAGAAGGAAUUAUAUGAACCAUGUGCUUCACCCACUUGGGCAGCCAGAGCCACCGUCCAAACAGUUUAAUGGAACAGGUACUGUUAAAACUGCUAAAUAUAUUCAUGCUUGACGAGGCAUGAAAGCUUACACAAUAAGGGUUAACACAGCAGGUCUGAGGCUUCAGCUGUUCCAAGGUACUGUUUGCAAGGCUGGCCUCUGGCUGGCAUCUGGCAACUUGGCAUUUAGAGUGUGGUCUGUAACCCAACUGAUAAGGACAUCUCACUGUGCCUAGACUAUGCAAACAAUGUGAUUUGCACUGAGCACCUGCUUUCCUCUGGGAGUCUGGAAUUUGGUACAUGCUGGACAGAAAUACCUACUUGCUUAAUCCUCAGUGAGCUUUGUAUGACCCUCUCAGGGCAGGGACAGCAUUGGAAGCCAACAUGUAGAUUCCCCCAGACAUCACCUGGCUUUCCCAUCCUU